rnacentral:rRNA from 1 species
AUUGAACGCUGGCGGCAGGCCUAACACAUGCAAGUCGAGCGGAUGAAGGGAGCUUGCUCCUGGAUUCAGCGGCGGACGGGUGAGUAAUGCCUAGGAAUCUGCCUGGUAGUGGGGGAUAACGUCCGGAAACGGGCGCUAAUACCGCAUACGUCCUGAGGGAGCAAGUGGGGGAUCUUCGGACCUCACGCUAUCAGAUGAUCCUAGGUCGGAUUAGCUAGUUGGUGGGGUAAAGGCCUACCAAGGCGACGAUCCGUAACUGGUCUGAGAGGAUGAUCAGUCACACUGGAAAUGAGACACGGUCCAGACUCCUACGGGAGGCAGCAGUGGGGAAUAUUGGACAAUGGGCGAAAGCCUGAUCCAGCCAAGCCGCGUGUGUGAAGAAGGUCUUCGGAUUGUAAAGCACUUUAAGUUGGGAGGAAGGGCAGUAAGUUAAUACCUUGCUGUUUUGACGUUACCAACAGAAUAAGCACCGGCUAACUUCGUG